GGAAUCUUCCGCAAUGGACGAAAGUCUGACGGAGCAACGCCGCGUGAGUGAAGAAGGUUUUCGGAUCGUAAAACUCUGUUGUCAGAGAAGAACAAGUUGGAGAGUAACUGCUCCAGCCUUGACGGUAUCUGACCAGAAAGCCACGGCUAACUACGUGCCAGCAGCCGCGGUAAUACGUAGGUGGCAAGCGUUGUCCGGAUUUAUUGGGCGUAAAGCGAGCGCAGGCGGUUCCUUAAGUCUGAUGUGAAAGCCCACGGCUCAACCGUGGAAGGUCAUUGGAAACUGGGGAACUUGAGUGCAGAAGAGGAGAGUGGAAUUCCAUGUGUAGCGGUGAAAUGCGUAGAUAUAUGGAGGAACACCAGUGGCGAAGGCGACUCUCUGGUCUGUAACUGACGCUGAGGCUCGAAAGCGUGGGGAGCAAACAGGAUUAGAUACCCCAG
rnacentral:rRNA from 1 species